ensembl:snoRNA U3 Small nucleolar RNA U3
AGGCGUGCACCAUCAGGGAACAUCUCUAUAGUCUUACUGGAGAGGCUUCUCUGACUGUGUGGGGCACCCGCGACCAUGAGGACGAGAUGUGGUUCCCUCCUGAGGGUGAGGCAGCUCGGGCUGCCGCCUUUCUUCAGGUACCUCUCGCAGCUGAUGAUCUGCUCUCUCCCUCUGGAGAGGGAGAGGGAGGGAGGGCAGUCUGCAUGGA